CAGUAGCCACGGUAAUACGAGGGGGGCAAGCGUUGUUCGGAAUUAUUGGGCGUAAAGGGUGCGUAGGCGGUUUCGUAAGUCUGAUGUGAAAUCUAUGGGCUCAACCCACAGUCUGCAUCGGAAACUGCGAGGCUUGAGAGUGGGAGAGGUGAGUGGAAUUUCCGGUGUAGCGGUGAAAUGCGUAGAUAUCGGAAGGAACACCUGUGGCGAAAGCGGCUCACUGGACCAUUUCUGACGCUGAUGCACGAAAGCUAGGGGAGCAAACAGGAUUAGAUACCCCUGUAGUCCCUGUCUCUUAUAC
rnacentral:rRNA from 1 species